AAGUCGUAACAAGGUUUCCGUAGGUGAACCUGCGGAAGGAUCAUUAAUCCAUCUCAAACCAUGGUGCGGUCGCGGCCCCCGGGGGCUUGCUCCCGGGGGUAGGGGUAACACCCUCACGGCGCCGCCUGCCUGUACCCUCUUUUUACGAGCACCAUUUCGUUCUCCUUCGGCGGGGCAACCUGCCGCUGGAACCAAAACAAAAACCUUUUUUGCAUCUAGCAUUACCUGUUCUGAUACAAAAUAAUCGUUACAA
rnacentral:misc_RNA from 1 species